rnacentral:rRNA from 1 species
UAACGGGUGAGUAACGAGCGGUGGGCAAUCUGCCCUUCACUCUGGGACAAGCCCUGGAAACGGGGUCUAAUACCGGAUACCACUCCUGCCUGCAUGGGCGGGGGUUGAAAGCUCCGGCGGUGAAGGAUGAGCCCGCGGCCUAUCAGCUUGUUGGUGGGGUAAUGGCCCACCAAGGCGACGACGGGUAGCCGGCCUGAGAGGGCGACCGGCCACACUGGGACUGAGACACGGCCCAGACUCCUACGGGAGGCAGCAGUGGGGAAUAUUGCACAAUGGGCGAAAGCCUGAUGCAGCGACGCCGCGUGAGGGAUGACGGCCUUCGGGUUGUAAACCUCUUUCAGCAGGGAAGAAGCGAAAGUGACGGUACCUGCAGAAGAAGCGCCGGCUAACUACGUGCCAGCAGCCGCGGUAAUACGUAGGGCGCAAGCGUUGUCCGGAAUUAUUGGGCGUAAAGAGCUCGUAGGCGGCUUGUCACGUCGGAUGUGAAAGCCCGAGGCUUAACCUCGGGUCUGCAUUCGAUACGGGCUAGCUAGAGUGUGGUAGGGGAGAUCGGAAUUCCUGGUGUAGCGGUGAAAUGCGCAGAUAUCAGGAGGAACACCGGUGGCGAAGGCGGAUCUCUGGGCCAUUACUGACGCUGAGGAGCGAAAGCGUGGGGAGCGAACAGGAUUAGAUACCCUGGUAGUCCACGCCGUAAACGUUGGGAACUAGGUGUUGGCGACAUUCCACGUCGUCGGUGCCGCAGCUAACGCAUUAAGUUCCCCGCCCUGGGGAGUACGGGCCGCAAGGCUAAAAACUCAAAGGAAUUGACGGGGGCCCGCACAAGGCGGCGGGAGCAUGUGGCUUAAUUCGACGCAACGCGGAGAAUCUUUACCAAGGCUUGACAUAUACCGGUAAGGCAUUAGAAGAUAGUGCCCCCCUUGUGAUCGGUAUACAGGGUGGUGCAUGGCCUGUCGUCAGCUCGUGUCGU